UACAGAGGGUGCGAGCGUUAAUCGGAAUUACUGGGCGUAAAGCGUGCGUAGACGGUUAUUUAAGUCGGGUGUGAAAGCCCCGGGCUCAACCUGGGAAUUGCAUUCGAGACUGAAUAGCUAGGGUACGGUAGAGGGAAGUGGAAUUUCCGGUGUAGCGGUGAAAUGCGUAGAUAUCGGAAGGAACAUCAGUGGCGAAGGCGGCUUUCUGGACGGUAACUGGACGCUGAGGCGCGAAAAGCGUGGGGAGCAAACA
rnacentral:rRNA from 1 species